GAUGAACGCUGGCGGCGUGCUUAACACAUGCAAGUCGAACGGAAAGGCCCAAGCUUGCUUGGGUACUCGAGUGGCGAACGGGUGAGUAACACGUGGGUGAUCUGCCCUGCACUUCGGGAUAAGCCUGGGAAACUGGGUCUAAUACCGGAUAGGACCACAUUUUGGAUGGUGUGGUGGAAAGUUUUUCGGUGUGGGAUGAGCUCGCGGCCUAUCAGCUUGUUGGUGGGGUAAUGGCCUACCAAGGCGUCGACGGGUAGCCGGCCUGAGAGGGUGUACGGCCACAUUGGGACUGAGAUACGGCCCAGACUCCUACGGGAGGCAGCUGUGGGGAAUAUUGCACAAUGGGCGCAAGCCUGAUGCAGCGACGCCGCGUGGGGGAUGACGGCCUUCGGGUUGUAAACUCCUUUCGCUAGGGACGAAGCGCAAGUGACGGUACCUGGAGAAGAAGCACCGGCUAACUACGUG
rnacentral:rRNA from 1 species